AUGCUUUUUGCGUGUUGUCUGAAGCAAUGAUUUGGGUUACAAGAAGGCCUGGCUGAGGUGGGGGGUUGUGUGUGCCCAUGGAGCAGAGGGGUGAAGUAGGCUGGUCCCAGGGCAUGUUGUGGCAGUGUCUGUGCAUUAACUGUUCCCUGGGUAUGGGCGGGGGGGGAGAGAAAUAAAACCAGGGGAGCACAGCCAUCGCCACGGAUGCCUUCUCCUGCAGUUGUCCCUCGGUGAUUGGAAGCUCUGGUGCGCAUGGCCUCUUCCCUUUGCUUUGCUUUUCUGAGAAAGAAUGCAGAGAGAUGAGGGAGUCUUCUUCCUCCAUAUCCAGUUCAAAAAGCUUUCUAGAGCUGUGUGCCCGGGAUGGACACUGGUUUGUUGGUUUUGUUUAUUGCCUGAGAGCUUGAAGACUGCGAGGGCUUAGUGGCCUGCGAGUGUCUGUGCAUUGCCCGUUCCCCGGGUACGGGAAGGGAAAGGGAGGAAGAACGCAGAGAGCAGGGCCUGACCAUUCCAGAGUUGCUUGUACUGCCAAAGGAAGGUUCCCUGCUAAUCUCCUCUUCCUUCUCCUUUUUCUUUUAGAGAAAUUGUCCGGAGGUCGGGGUGAGACGUCUUCCUGCAUUUCCACUUCUGAAACCUUUUCACAGUGUUGUGUCGUUGGGAUGGAGACUGGCUUGAUGCUUUUUGCGUGUUGUAGAAGGAGUGCAGAGAGAUGAGGGAGUCUUCUUCCUCCACAUCCACUUCAAAAAGCUUUCUAGAGCUGUGCCCCCAGGGAUGGACGCUCGCUUGUUGCUUUUGGUUAUUGCCUGAGAGCUUGAAGAGUGCGAGGGCUUAGUGGCCUGCAAGUGUCUGUGCCUUGUCCGUUCCCUGGGUACGGGAAGGGAAAGGGGGAAGAACGCAGAGAGCAGGGCCUGCCCCUUCCAGGGUUGCUUGUGCUCCCAAAGGCAGGUCCCCUGCUAAUCUCCUCUUCCUUCUCCUUUUCUUUGUAGUGCAACAGUCCAGAGAUCUGGGUGAGUUGUCCUUCUGCAUUUCCACUUCUGAAACCUUUCC
rnacentral:lncRNA from 1 species